rnacentral:tRNA from 1 species
GCGGACGUAGCGCAGCUGGUNGCGCAUCACCUUGCCAAGGUGAGGGUCGCGGGUUCGAGUCCCGUCGUCCGCUCCA